rnacentral:rRNA from 1 species
UGGCUCAGGACGAACGGCUGGCGGCGUGCCUAAUACAUGCAAGUCGAGCGAAUUGAUGGGAGCUUGCUCCCUGAUAUUAGCGGCGGACGGGUGAGUAACACGUGGGCAACCUGCCUGUAAGACUGGGAUAACUCGCGGAAACGUGAGCUAAUACCGGAUAAUUCUUUCUAACACAUGUUAGGAAGCUAAAAGAUGGUUUACGCUAUCACUUACAGAUGGGCCCGCGGCGCAUUAGCUAGUUGGUGAGGUAAUGGCUCACCAAGGCAACGAUGCGUAGCCGACCUGAGAGGGUGAUCGGCCACACUGGGACUGAGACACGGCCCAGACUCCUACGGGAGGCAGCAGUAGGGAAUCUUCCGCAAUGGACGAAAGUCUGACGGAGCAGCGCCGCGUGAGUGAUGAAGGUUUUCGGAUCGUAAAACUCUGUUGUUAGGGAAGAACAAGUAUCGGAGUAACUGCCGGUACCUUGACGGUACCUAACCAGAAAGCCACGGCUAACUACGUG